CCUGCGGGGGGCAGCAGUGGGGAAUAUUGGACAAUGGGCGAAAGCCUGAUCCAGCCAUGCCGCGUGUGUGAAGAAGGCCUUCGGGUUGUAAAGCACUUUCAGUGGGGAAGAAAGCCUUGGGGCUAAUACCCUCGAGGAAGGACAUCACCCACAGAAGAAGCACCGGCUAACUCCGUGCCAGCAGCCGCGGUAAUACGGAGGGUGCGAGCGUUAAUCGGAAUUACUGGGCGUAAAGCGCGCGUAGGCGGUCUGAUAAGCCGGUUGUGAAAGCCCCGGGCUCAACCUGGGAACGGCAUCCGAAACUGUCAGGCUAGAGUGCAGGAGAGGAAGGUAGAAUUCCCGGUGUAGCGGUGAAAUGCGUAGAGAUCGGGAGGAAUACCAGUGGCGAAGGCGGCCUUCUGGACUGACACUGACGCUGAGGUGCGAAAGCGUGGGUAGCAAACAGGAUUAGAUACCCUAGUAGUC
rnacentral:rRNA from 1 species